GCGAACGCUGGCGGCGUACUUAACACAUGCAAGUCGAACGAGGAGCUUCGGUGUAGCAAUACAUCGGAGCUUCUAGUGGCGCACGGGUGAGUAACACGUGGGCAACCUGCCCUCGAGUUCGGGAUACCCUCUCGAAAGGGAGGCUAAUACCGGAUACGUUCUUCGGGUCGCAAGAUCUGGAGAGGAAAGGCGGCGAAAGCUGCCGCUCUUGGAGGGGCUCGCGGCCUAUCAGCUAGUUGGUGAGGUCAUGGCUCACCAAGGCGAUGACGGGUAGCUGGUCUGAGAGGACGACCAGCCACACGGGAACUGAGACACGGUCCCGACUCCUACGGGAGGCAGCAGUGGGGAAUUUUCCGCAAUGGGCGAAAGCCUGACGGAGUGACGCCGCGUGGGGGACGAAGGCCUUCGGGUCGUAAACCCCUGUCAGAGGGAAAGAAGGUCGGCGCGGUGAACAGCCGCGUCGAUUGACGGUACCUUCAGAGGAAGCCCCGGCCAACUCUGUGCCAGCAGCCGCGGUAAGACAGAGGGGGCAAGCGUUGCUCGGAAUCACUGGGCGUAAAGGGCGCGUAGGCGGGAUGGCAAGUCGGUCGUGAAAUCCCUGGGCUCAACUCAGGGGGGUCGGCCGAUACUGCCGUUCUUGAGGGAUGCGGAGGAGACUGGAAUUCCCGGUGUAGCGGUGAAAUGUGUAGAGAUCGGGAGGAACACCGGUGGCGAAGGCGGGUCUCUGGGCAUUCCCUGACGCUGAGGCGCGAAAGCGUGGGGAGCAAACGGGAUUAGAUACCCCGGUAGUCCACGCGGUAAACGAUGACGACUAGGUGUGGGGGGGUUAAGUCCCUUCCGUGCCGCAGCUAACGCAUUAAGUCGUCCGCCUGGGGAGUACGGCCGCAAGGUUGAAACUCAAAGGAAUUGACGGGGGCCCGCACAAGCGGUGGAGCAUGUGGUUCAAUUCGACGCAACGCGAAGAACCUUACCUGGGCUCGAAAUGUAGUGGACCGGGGUGGAAACAUCCCUUCCCGCAAGGGCUGCUAUAUAGGUGCUGCAUGGCUGUCGUCAGCUCGUGUCGUGAGAUGUUGGGUUAAGUCCCGCAACGAGCGCAACCCUUAUUGCCAGUUGCCAGCAAGUAAUGUUGGGCACUCUGGCGAAACUGCCCCGGAUAACGGGGAGGAAGGUGGGGAUGACGUCAAGUCCUCAUGGCCUUUAUGUCCAGGGCUACACACGUGCUACAAUGGGCGAUACAAACCGUCGCAAACCCGCGAGGGGGAGCUAAUCGGAUAAAGUCGUCCUCAGUUCGGAUUGGAGUCUGCAACUCGACUCCAUGAAGCUGGAAUCGCUAGUAAUCGCAGAUCAGCACGCUGCGGUGGAUACGUUCCCGGGCCUUGUACACACCGCCCGUCACAUCACGAAAGUGGGUUGUACUAGAAGCCGGUGGGCUGACUCGCAAGAGAUGCAGCCGUCCAAGGUAUAACUCAUGAUUGGGGUG
rnacentral:rRNA from 1 species